AUACCUUUCUCGGCCUUUUGGCUAAGAUCAAGUGUAGUAUCUGUUCUUAUCAGUUUAAUAUCUGAUAUGUGGGUCAUUGGCUCACACGAUAUUAAAUUUAUUUUUUGAAGGGGAAGGUUCAAACAGUAGCUUGCUAUUGGGGCCUUCAUGUGUCGCCUAUGUGUUGCACUGCAACAUGGGCCUGGCACACCCUAC
rfam:Cajanus cajan CcLG03_56, whole genome shotgun sequence.